rnacentral:rRNA from 1 species
UGGGGAAUUUUGGACAAUGGGCGAAAGCCUGAUCCAGCAAUGCCGCGUGUGUGAAGAAGGCCUUCGGGUUGUAAAGCACUUUUGUCCGGAAAGAAAUCCUCUGGGUUAAUACCUCGGGGGGAUGACGGUACCGGAAGAAUAAGCACCGGCUAACUACGUGCCAGCAGCCGCGGUAAUACGUAGGGUGCAAGCGUUAAUCGGAAUUACUGGGCGUAAAGCGUGCGCAGGCGGUUUUGUAAGACGGAUGUGAAAUCCCCGGGCUUAACCUGGGAACUGCAUUCGUGACUGCAAGGCUAGAGUAUGGCAGAGGGGGGUAGAAUUCCACGUGUAGCAGUGAAAUGCGUAGAGAUGUGGAGGAAUACCGAUGGCGAAGGCAGCCCCCUGGGCCAAUACUGACGCUCAUGCACGAAAGCGUGGGGGAGCAAACAGGACUAGAUACCCUGGUAGUCCACGCCCUAAACGAUGUCAACUAGUUGUUGGGGAUUCAUUUCCUUAGUAACGUAGCUAACGCGUGAAGUUGACCGCCUGGGGAGUACGGUCGCAAGAUUAAAACUCAAAUGAAUUGACGGGGUCAUAGCUGUUUCCU